rnacentral:rRNA from 1 species
GAUGAACGCUGGCGGCGUGCCUAAUACAUGCAAGUCGAGCGAACAGACGAGGAGCUUGCUCCUCUGACGUUAGCGGCGGACGGGUGAGUAACACGUGGAUAACCUACCUAUAAUACUGGGAUAACUUCGGGAAACCGGAGCUAAUACCGGAUAAUAUAUUGAACCGCAUGGUUCAAUAGUGAAAGACGGUUUUGCUGUCACUUAUAGACGGAUCCGCGCCGCAUUAGCUAGUUGGUAAGGUAACGGCUUACCAAGGCAACGAUGCGUAGCCGACCUGAGAGGGUGAUCGGCCACACUGGAACUGAGACACGGUCCAGACUCCUACGGGAGGCAGCAGUAGGGAAUCUUCCGCAAUGGGCGAAAGCUUGACGGAGCAACGCCGCGUGAGUGAUGAAGGUCUUCGGAUCGUAAAGCUCUGUUAUUAGGGAAGAACAAAUGUGUAAGUAACUAUGCACGUCUUGACGGUACCUAAUCAGAAAGCCACGGCUAACUACGUG